UUAACAUUCAUGAGCUCGACCUUGGACGACGUUGUUUGUUUGUAGCGUUUCAGGCGUGGAUAAAUACAUUUAUUUCAGAACAAAACGACACUUAUGUGUUUAGAAACCUGUACAUACUGUAUAUAUAUAACUAUAAAGUUAAAACAAAAAUGUAAGACAAUGCAGACGCAACAGCUUUAGUCAUCAACAAGUGAACAAUGGAAUAUAAGAUCAAUUGAUAUGCUUAUUUUUUAGUAAAAAUCCAUAAAAUACAAAUAUCGCGGCAUAGGGGCGUCUCUAUUUACAUUUUAAUCGAAAACUGUCUAAAAAAUGUCCAAACGUUUGCUUUGUUUCUGCGCUGAUAACAUUAUAUUUGGCUUGCGUGCCAGCAACGGAGACCCUACAGUCACCAUGUUUAGUGCUGUAAAAGCAGUUAUACAGUAUUUCAUGAACUUUCCUAGUAUUGUGGUAGUGCAAAAGACAUAAAUCAGUCAAAAACUUUAUUUCUUGGCUCAUUUAGUUGCAGGAGGCGCUGGCGUUUAAGUGCCUGCAGGCCUCUUUGAUACACUGCUCUGGUUUGAGGUUUCCUGACAGGACUCUGACAGGGCUCUGCUUGCCUCGGAUGGCAGAAAGGACCUGAGUUGUUAAGGAUCUUGAGGUUUCAGAGUGUUUGCCAAAAAUCAAUUCUGGCCUCAGCAGCAGCUGUAUGAAGUUUCUUAAACUGGCACGUUAUACCAGUCCAGCUUAGCAUGGCAGCCAGUCAGCAUCAGACAGCACCUUCACGUUUAUGUGUAGCACCCUGAAAACUGGACCCCUUCUUCUGUUACAUUACUCAGAUGAAUACUGGUCCAGUAUGCAUGAUGUGGAACCAUAUGCACCAUCGUAAGUGGCCUCAUCUGCCCAUGCUGCUCUAAGACAUCCUGGGACAUCGGUACUCUAAAGAGUGUGUGGCUGUCUGUCAUCAGCGGGUGUCACUUGGCUCUAUCUGGCUCUUUCAGGCCUGCCAUGUCUCUCAGCAUGCUGUUUGUCUUCCUUCUAAUAAACCUCCUCACAUACCGAGGUAAGACUUGCUUACCUGAAGUCUGCUGUGUGUUGUCUGCUGGCAUCCUACAGCCACAAGCCAAUCAGAUAUGUAUUUCCAAACCAUGAUAAAACCGUAAUUAUUCACUAGAACUGUUUACAGUGAUUUCUGGGGAGAGAGGGACCUUUGGCACAUUAACAUGCCUUAAAAUCUGCCACUUUGUUUUUAAAGUUAAACAAAUUCCUUUUUUUAGGAAAAAAAAUUGCUUGCACCAAAUGUAUUUCUGUGAUGUUUGAAAGUAUAACAGCUCAUUUCUCUUACAUUCGAUUCUGGAGCCGAUGAAAGAAAUUAAACUUACACUUGCAAGCUGGAAGAGAGUCUGGUAGGCAUAGCCAUUGCCUUGACACAUUAGGGUUGUGCAGAUAAACGAUAGUCUCAUGUAUCGACUAUAGGAGAUAGUCAAGACGAUAUUAGGCUCAUUCUCCUAUAAAUGUAUUCAAUUAUUAUUAUUUGGUGGCCUAUAUUAUUCGGCUAUUAUUAUCAAAGCCCUACUAUUUCACCUCAGCACCACACUUCACAUGCACAGAUGAGGAUUAGGCUUCUUGUCCUCAUUGGAAAUGUUUUAAAAACUAAGCCCAGAUCAAAAUUGAACUGCAAGGUGAGAAACCUAUAUUUACAAAUUAUGUCAAGAGAGCUAAAAGAGACAUCUUUUCGAGACAUCUAUUCUUGAACAGCUGUAUGACUGAGCAUGCUGAAAACUGCAUCGCCAUCAUUAUUUAAUUUUCUU